AAGCGAUUUAUUUGUGUAGCUCAUUAUACAUGCAGAUUCCGAUGUUUACGUACGUAAAGAUCGGAAUCUGCAUGUAUAAUGAGCAACACAAAUAAAUCGCUU